AUAUUAAAGUUGUUGAGGUUAAAAGCUCGUAGUUGAACCUUGGGCCUAGCCGGCCGGUCCGCCUCACCGCGUGCACUGGCUCGGCUGGGUCUUUCCUUCUGGAGAACCGCAUGCCCUUCACUGGGUGUGCCGGGGAACCAGGACUUUUACUCUGAAUAAAUUAGAUCGCUUAAAGAAGGCCUAUGCUCGAAUACAUUAGCAUGGAAUAAUAGAAUAGGACGUGUGGUUCUAUUUUGUUGGUUUCUAGGACCGCCGUAAUGAUUAAUAGGGACAGUCGGGGGCAUCAGUAUUCAAUUGUCA
rnacentral:rRNA from 1 species